CCUUGCUCCUGGAAAAGGUCUCAUUUUUUUGCCUGCGUAAUGAGAAAACACACAACAGGAUUUCUUCAUAGGCUUCACUCCUAUAGGAGGAUGUGAGAGUUAGGUCCUGGCUUGGACACGUAGGCUAAAUUUGCAAAGAAAGAGUUCCAUUCAUACCAAUCAUAGUUGGCGGCCUACAACAAAUGAGUUAAAGGCCUAGCUAGCUAGGGUAUUUAUGUUCAGAGAAAACUGUUCUUCCAUUCUUCAAAUUUGCAAUAAAAGGCAUAGAAUCAAAUAUCAGUUCUGAUUACACAAUACUCAGUAGCGUUCCAUAGAAGCAACACCAAGUCGCGCAUAAAAUGAUGCUCGAGUUAAGAGGUAGGUGAAGAAUAGCUUGCGUCGAAACCCAAACUUGUUCCAAUAAAAGAAAAAACAGUGCACCCCCAAAGCCCAUCAAAUUCAACAAACACACCUAAAUAAGAAAGAACCAAUUGAAACAUUUCGAGCCAUUCCAAAUUUUGCUUCUUUUCGGGACCAAGUAGGUUUCGGCCGGUCUCUCUCUACUCUUUUCGGGUGCUUACUGCUCAUUAGGAUCAAUUCAUAAUCUCGACACCGUCCCGUUUUUGGACAAAACAGUCGGUUGGAAAAUUGAGGAAAAGUCAUUCAUUUCCUUGCAUUAGAAAAUCGCAAACCUCUCUGCCUGACCCAACUGGAAAAUAUCAAUUAUCUUAGCAAUUAAGCGUCUUUGACAAGCACCGCUACUAAUAGCGUUUUUCCUGUUAAUUGGCCUCUGUUCCUCCAUCAUAUUUAUUGUCAAGAUUCAAGGCUUCGGAAGUGUCAUCCCCUCAAAAAUUGAUUUAUGAGCCUCCAUCAAGGUAAAACCACUAGCGUGAACAAUCCGUGCUCAAGUGGAACGCGACGAGUAAUCAAAUUCAUAACAGCGUAGUCAUGUAUGACCCUUUAACAUCGUUCAAGGAGAGUGAAAACUCUGAAAUGUACCCUCACCAAACUGACUUUCACAUGUGGUGAGGAAAACUUUGGGUGUUGGUGCUGCCACAUGUACCUUAACUUUAAUCUUCAUCAUAUUGCUUAUAAAUUUCUUUCAGAUAUCAGGCUGAAAAUUGGGAUGGAUUGAACAAAAAGAACUUGGGAAAUAGGAUGAUUAAAAGUGAUGAGAUGUGGCCUUUUUAUUUUUUGCUUCUCUCUUUUGGAUGACUGCUUAACUAGAUUACCUCAAAAAAGAAAUAUCAAGUCUUCACGUAAAUUGAUUAACGUUUCUCUGUUGA